rnacentral:lncRNA from 1 species
AUAUCUCUCUCCAUCUCUCAAAGAUUUGAAGGUAGACUAAAUAAUUCAGGCUCAAACUGCUUUUGCUGCAAACCCUGCCAACCCAGCAAUUUUGUCAGAAGCUUCUGUUCACAUCUCUCAAGAUGGAAACCUCUAUUCCAAACUAUAUCCAGAGCUCUCUCAACACAUAGGCCUGAGUUUAAAUAAAGAAGAAACACAUGCAAAUAUGACCAUGGUUUCUGGUGCGCCAAUUCAGGGCCAGUUGGUAGCAAGACCUUCCAGUACGAACUAUACAAUGGCUCCUAUAACUGGUAAUGAUGUUGGAAUUUGUAGAGCAGAAAUUAAGCAAGGGAUUCAUGAAGCCAUUGGAUCAAAGGACCAAGAUGGAAAAAUUGAACUCUGGCUUAAAUCAAUAGAUAAUGGUAUAUGUGUUCAGCAAGUCAAGGAUAACUCUCCAACCUUAUUGGUUGGUCUGAGAUUUGGGAACCAAGUACUCCAAAUCAAUGGUGAAAACUGUGCAGGCUGGAGCUCAGAUAAAGUGCACAAGGUGCUCAAACAGGCUUUUCAAGAGAAGAUUUCUACGUCCAUUCAUGACAGGCCCUUUGAAUGGACAAUUACCAUGCAUAAGGAUAGCACUGGACAUGUUGGUUUUAUCAUUUAAAAUGGAAAGAUAACAUCCAUAGUGAAAGACAGUUCUGUAGCCAGAAAUGGUCUUCUCACAGAACACAACAUCUGUGAAAUCAACAGACAGAAGGUCACUGGACUGAAGGACUCUCAAAUUGCAGACAUACUGUCAACAUCUGGGACUCGAGUUACUAUUACAAUCAUGUCUUCUUUUAUCUUUGAACAGAUUAAGUGGAUGACACCAAGCAUGAUGAAAAGCCUAAUAGACCACACCAUUCCUGAGGGUU